GUGACAUCAAGAUGAAACACCGGUUCCCGUACGAUCACCGAAGUUAAGCAAUGCCGAGCCUGGUCAGUACCUAGAUGGGUAUUCACUUA